GCCAGAUCACCUGAAACACUCAUUUUCCCUCAUUCUCUGAUACCUUCAAAUUCUACUACUGGCUGAUUGUUUUCAGCUAAUACAAAAGUUGGAGUAUCUUCCUACCCGAAGUAAUCCUGAUUUGGCUCCCUUAUUCAUCUACAGUCAUUGCACACACCCAAAGAGACAUAGACCUGAGAUGUUAAAGCAGCCUCUGACAUACACAGGAUAAAGAAAGCAAGCCAGCUCUUUCUAAGGAUGCUGCAGAACUUGCCACAAGAAAGCAUCCAGAUGUACCUGCUCAACAAUGUCUGCCUUCAAAGUAGUACAGCUUGGAAAUGAUUCUCACCUUUAUCUUCUGAUAGUCAAGGCCACCCUGGAUAUACACGGACUCACAACCUUUGUGUCCUGUCCCCACCUCUCCUGCCACCACCAACUACAGAGCUGGGUGAGCAUGGUAGCUGGUGAACUCUGAUGUACGACUGAAUUGCCUGGGGAUUUGCUAACAGGGAAUCACAGGCACACGAGUGUGCAAAUGAAACACAGUACCAAGUAUGGCUGUGACCUUGUUGAUAGUGACUGUGAGCAGCCCUGGCAGGCUUGCUCUCUCCUUUCUGGACAGACAGCACCGACUCCUCACUAGCUUGACAAAGGGCAGCAGAGGAUGUGGAAUCAGGGAAGCAUUCACGAUGUAGAAUUAGAAAACCUGUUUGGCUGCUAUCCCUGUGAACACAGAGCAGUGUGGUGUUGGAGAGACAGACCAGCUGCUGACCCCCACCCCAUUUUCUCCAAGAAGACUGGUGGGCACCUGAAGAAACUCCAUCCACAAAAGUGACAACGCUGGCCACUGACCAACCCUGUCUUUCACCUCAACUGCAGCAAAGGACUCUUCAGACAGCGGACAAGAGGACAGUGGAAUUGACUUUCUCCACGUUGCUUGAGCCAACAGCAGGCAAGUCUUCCUAGAGUCCCUGGUCCACAGGUCCCAUGCUAUCAGAAGAAGAUGGGUGUCCUCAAAGCCACUGCCCUCAACAACUAUAGAGGACCUUGGGGGUGGCUGUACAUGUAGCCAGAUAGUAAGUCUCUGUUAUUCUCUAAUCAUUAACUCAGGUGAAAUUUUAUCCUUCUCAAGAACUCUGAUGCUUUUGAUGGCUGGUAGCUUUGCUAGCUUAAAGCAACAGCCAAGGCUCUGUCACAAAACAGAUUUCAGAGACAGGUAUUUUAAGAUCUGUCUAUAUAAGAUGGUAAUGUAAGGUCUAUAAAUUAAAGUUAUGAAGGUCUGAAGAUAAAAAAGGCUUAAGUAAUGACAAAUAAAGUGAGUUGAGACAUUAAGAAGAAUGAAAUAUGUUCCAGAUUUCUCUCUUUCACUAUGCUACUGUUCAUAGUCUUAAUAAUAAUAAAGUUCUGAAAAGCUACUAAUCCAACUCCAAUAAACAUGAAACUAUAUUACUAUAUGAUCAUAACUGCAAGAUCAAGAUUAAGGUACUUUUUAUUAUGCUAAAAAUAUGUCAGUUUUAAAAAUGUUAAUGCUUUCCGCAAAGUUGCUUCUAACAUAAACAUGCUGCUAAUGUGUCUAAAAUUUAUGUUUUCACAAACUCAAAGGAUUCUUGUAACUUUCAGGGAGCUGAGUUGGACCUAUCUAAACAGGUCAGAUUCACUCUAGAUAUUAUCCAAUCUCUCCCUGGUCCUGGGACUCUCUUCCCCCCUCUUGGGAUCACAUCUUACAAUCCUUCCCUCAAGUACCAGGACCUAAGAAAAAAAUUUUUUCUAAACUUAACCUUGCCCUCCACUAUGCUAACAUCUUGUCAGGUCUAAGAGGCGCCAGAGAGUUCCAUACAGCCUGGACUGCGAUGGAACAACAAGCUACCCCAGGACAUGGCAGCACCCCAGCUUUCUCAGAUCCCCCAAAGAUGGCCAAUGCCCCCAAGGUCAACAAGAAACAGUCUUGAGGGCUCAAUGUCCAUAUUCCCUAACCUGCCAUGCCUAACACCCCACUUUUUAAUAACAAGUAAAGGUGAGAAUGAAAGGUUCAGGCAUCAUGUCCCUGUUACCUGGCAGAAUGCACU